GAGUUUGAUUCUGGCUCAGGAUGAACGCUGGCGGCAUGCCUAACACAUGCAAGUUGAACGAGAAGUUCUGGAGGGAGUCUUCGGACGAACGAAGGGAUGGAAAGUAGCGAACGGGUGAGUAACGCGUGGGCAACCAACCUUACACAGGGGGAUAACACAGAGAAAUCUGUGCUAAUACCGCAUAAGCGCACAGUACUGCAUAGUACGGUGUGAAAAACUCCGGUGGUGUAAGACGGGCCCGCGUCUGAUUAGCUAGUUGGUAGGGUAAAAGCCUACCAAGGCAACGAUCAGUAGCCGACCUGAGAGGGUGAUCGGCCACAUUGGGACUGAGACACGGCCCAAACUCCUACGGGAGGCAGCAGUGGGGGAUAUUGCACAAUGGAGGAAACUCUGAUGCAGCAAUGCCGCGUGAAGGAAGAAGGUCUUCGGAUUGUAAACUUCUAUCAGCAGGGAAGAAAAUGACG
rnacentral:rRNA from 1 species